UGGUUUGUGCGCCUGCGCGAUACGAGUGGGGCGAGAACGAGUGUUUCUUAGUCGAGACCGCGAUAAAAAUAGAACCAGGCGCAAAACUGUGUGCGCCUGCGUCAGACGAGGAGCUGCUUCCUUUUCUGAUGGGCUGCUGCAAGGAAAGAAUCAACUUCAAUGGCAAAUUCCACAGCGUCUUGAAGUGUCCUUGGCCUCCUUUCACUGACCUGAAAGCCAAAUCCAGAUGAGCAUCUAUGAAUUGGUCAAUUGCUAAUUUAUCCUGGAAGGACUUGUUAGUAUCUGGAUAUGCCAGGAGCACGAGUCUCCUCUGGUCCUCUGCCAGUUCAGGUGGGGUCCCUUUUAUCCAUCUCAUUCUAGCUCUUAGCUGUGCCCUGGCCAGCUCAGAUGGAUGGUUGGUGCUGAACUGCAUAUCAAGAGCGUGUACCGGAUGUGUUUAGUCAAUCUCUUUUCUGGAGCUUUCCCAAUCUGCAGCAGACGCCUGGGCCAAUAUAGUUUCAUGGACCAUUCCAAGAGGAAGUGUUUCCAUGAUGAACUUAUGGUUGAAGUUCUGGACAAGGCUAACCAGCAGGCCCACUACCAAAGACAGAGGGACUUGUGGCUAGAGGAAGGCCAUGCUGCAAGGCAACAGGACAUGCUUGGGCUGGCUGCACAGCUUGAGGACUGGAUUUCAGUGUGCGAGUAGGCACUUGCUUUUCAGUUCCUGGAACAGGAACGUGACUAAGUGAGGAGGACAGAGCUCAGCAGAAAGAGCUGCUUGAGUGGCUUAUCUCACUAAUGACAAGAGUAGUGGCUCCUGCUGCAUCACCCACACCAUGGCCUGAGUCCCCUGCGCGCUAACCUAUGCUGCGGUCCAAAAGCAGCUUGGAAGACUCCAUGGCUGGGUGACACAUGCAAUCAGGCCCCAUAAGUGGCUGGGCACCCUGCACCAUACAGCCUUCCAUAUUGACCUCCUCCCCUGUGGAUGCCUGCAUCUCCCUCCCACAGCAUCACUAGCACAGGAAAGGAGAACAGGACGCCAGGGGUAGAGUGUUUCUGUCUUGUACAUGAUUUCACUGUUUGCACUUCCAUGCACUUUGUUUUGAUUUUUUCCCCUGUAAGGU